GGGGUUGUGGCUCAGUGGUAUAGUGCUCGCCUAGCAUGUGAGAGGCACUGGGUUUGAUCCUCAGCAACACAU
rnacentral:tRNA from 1 species